rnacentral:rRNA from 1 species
UACGUAGGGUGCGAGCAUUGUCCGGAAUUAUUGGGCGUAAAGAGCUCGUAGGCGGCCUGUCACGUCGGAUGUGAAAAGCCCCGGGGCUUAACCCCGGGUCUGCAUUCGAUACGGGGCAGGCUGGAGUUCGGUAGGGGAGAUCGGAAUUCCUGGUGUAGCGGUGAAAUGCGCAGAUAUCAGGAGGAACACCGGUGGCGAAGGCGGAUCUCUGGGCCGAUACUGACGCUGAGGAGCGAAAGCGUGGGGAGCGAACAGG